AUAAUUUAAGAGAAAUUUACAGAUAUAUCGCUGGAAAAUGGCCAGCAGUCUCUACCGCGCCCCAAAAGUCGUGACUAUCCGUGAAUGCGAAUCAAGG
rnacentral:ncRNA from 2 species